rnacentral:rRNA from 1 species
UACGUAGGGGGCAAGGCGUUGUCCGGAUUUAUUGGGCGUAAAGAGCGUGUAGGCGGUUUGGUAGGUCCGCUGUGAAAACUCGAGGCUCAACCUCGAGACGCCGGUGGAAACCAUCAGGCUAGAGUCCGGAAGAGGAGAGUGGAAUUCCUGGUGUAGCGGUGAAAUGCGCAGAUAUCAGGAGGAACACCAAUGGCGAAGGCAGCUCACUGGGACGAUACUGACGCUGAGACGCGAAAGCGUGGGGAGCAAACAGG